UUACCUAGUCUACCAGGUCAACUACGUGCCAAGUCCAGCGUGGGUCUCUCGGAAUCGUGGUCAAAAACACCAGCCAUAGAGUAGUUUCCACGUUUAUCGGAGAGUGGCGAGUCCAUGGUUGGGAACCUGUGCGUUCGCUCUGCAAGCACAGAUGCAUGUUCAGUAUUGAGUAGAAAAGUUUAGGUGGAUACCAGCGAUGAAUAUGAAUUGGCAGAUGUCCAGCUUAGGCAAGGCCGUGGGGUUGAUAAUUGGUACAUUCCAAGGUCAGCCUUAAUGGGAAAGGAGUAGAAGGCCUCCAGCUUCCCUGGUACUCAGGGUUCCUGGGUUUCCAUGGCAACUCCCCCAUCUGAAGUUAUUGGCCAAUUGAGUUACUGAUGCACUUGAUAGUUCUCUCUGGUAUAUCACCUUUUCAGGAGUCAAGGCCGGAUCCGCUAAGCUAAAACAGCUGCGUUCGGAGGGAAUUGAUAUUUCCUCAGUGUGUACUUCCUCACUGGCUUCCCAGUGUGUGUUCAGGUCUGGACCAGAGAACUCAGGUCAAGGAGGAACUCCAUCAACAGACACAGAUUCCCUAGUCUGUUACCAUGGAAACAUGGAGCCGCAUAUGUUAACUUUUUUUUUUUUUUUUAGCUGUAGCAGAAGGUACUGACUUGUUUGCACUCCAGUGCCAGCUGAAGGAGGGUGUCCUCCUGCCUCCCUCUGCCCGUUCUCACACCUUGACCGUGUGUCCGAGAAGCUUGGCACACACAGAGCGAUCUCCUGAAGCUCGGGUACCCCAAACAGGACGGCUUUCUUCCUUCAUAUGUGCUCUAGAGACUGCGGUCGCUCGUGGCUGGGUGCGGAGGGGCUCCUUGGUCACCAAGGGCCUUCUUGAGCCAAGACCGCGUACCUUUCAGGGCUGCUCAGGCCGACCGUUGGACGGCAGCACUUGGUAACGCUGAGCAGAAAGCUGCAGAAGUUGUCACAUGGCCGUCACACACAGCACCUGCGGGACAUUUGGCAGUUUCCAUUCAAGACCGGACCACGCUUCUGGCCUCGGCGCUGCCCCGUGUCUACCACACCAUCACCCUACACAGCUGUUUUCCUUAUUAGGCUAAGGAUCUCUUCUUGCAGUGCAUCAAUUUGAAAAUCCACGGUGAUGUGAACCUGCAGGGAGGUGUGCCUUAGGCAUGUCUGAACAGCUGAACUCAUAAUAAGGACCCGUACUAUUUGUAAAAUUGAUAAUCUCUAAAUAAAUGUGUCUGUGCUGAGUCAGACCUGUACAGAUAGAUGGUUUCUAAGUUUUUUUUUUUUUUCUCUCUCUGAAUCAAACAUGACUCCUACAUUUGCUCUGAGUAACCAGGAUCACUGAACCACAAAUAAACUAAGUUGGUCAUGAUUCUGUCAGGCCCACCAGCCAACGCUUAAGGAAAGUUCAGUCUGUGACAUACCUUCAGAGACGAGACAAAGCCUGGAUUAAGGUGCGAGCUGGAUUAAAGACCAAAAGAAUAAAGUAACAGGCUUAAGUAAGCAUGGGAAGAAAUCAUUAAGAAAGUGGGGUAGUUCAGUUUCAAACCUCCAAAGCCAUGUGCUCAGUAAACUGAUGUAGAAGGGGUAAGCUCGGGUGUUUGUUGUGGUCACGGAGAACUGUGGAACACACUGGAGAGUUUAUGAACAGUGGGAACUCAGGUGUCCCAGCUCUGGGGCCUGGAAGUCUGAGAUGAAAGCGAUGUCUUCAGAGUCUGGUGAUGCCUCCCAAGUCUGGUGAUGGUUCCUUGGCUACUGUGAGACUCCGCACUCCCUGGAACACGUGUUCUUAGCAGCGUGUAUCUAUUCCAGAAUAGCCGAGCUACAGACCCCAGUUUCCACGGCUGUGUGGUUACCUCUCCACGCGCUCCGCUCCAGGGGCAUGCUGUUUUCAAGUGCAAAACCCACCAUCUGUUCCUUUUACAUUUACAUUUUAUUUUUAUCCGUGUGUGUCUGCAUGCCCAAAGAGGCCAGAAGAGGGUGUUGGAACCCCUGGAGUUGGAGUUACAGGCAGUUGUGGAUGUAACAGCCUGAGGUGGAUGCUGGAAACUGAACUUGGGUCCUUUGGAAGAGCAGGAAGCGCUCUUAACCACUGAGCCAUCUCUCCAUCCCCAGUGCAGCCGAAUUAAAUACGACUUUUGCUGCGGUCCAAGCAGGAGGAGGGACAACCCCCUUUCUUAGUUUUCAGUGAAGCAGAUCAACAGCCCUAGUCUUCUGGAACAUUCUUACAGAACGCUGGAGUUACCUGCAGUCUCCUACCAAAGAAGCACUCCAGCUGUGCUGUUGCCAACUUGAAAGUCACAGGUUUCAAACAAGAGAUUCUUUUUCAUUUUGCACAGGGACAUCUAAGGUGCAGGAAGCCAUCCGUCACUGCUGUGAGCCAGGUGGUGGCCCCUGCUGCAAGGGCAGUCUUGCUGAUCCCCCACUCUCUGUCCUUUUUAUUGUGGUCAAUUGUCCCAUUUCUGUUUGCAGGUACAAGGGAAGUGGCUGGUCUGUUAGAAUGGCUGAGCUGUGUGGGGUGUUUGACACCACGGUGAGGACAUGACUCCAUGUCCCUUUCUGGCACCAGCCUGAGUUGGGAAGAGGCAGGAGGCCAUGGUGACAACCCACCAGGAGCCGCACUCCAGCCCCGUGUGUCCUGUCUCAGCCCCUAAGCCUCGUCCUUCCCGGCAGAGUGGGGAGUAGCAGAGCCUCCUCCAGACACUUGGCCACCCCCAAAAUAGCUGGGCUCUGUGUCGGGGGGAGACAAUGGCAGCCCUCUCCCGGCACUGAGCCUGAGCAUAUGUGCUUCUUGGUAGCAAGUGUGAAGGCUGACUAAACUUAGCGAGUGUGCCUCCCGCUUCUUCAUUUCCAUCCCACCCUUUGGUUUGUGUCGGAAGGAAUGGACUGUUUCCCUGCCAAGAACCACCUGCUGUACUUCAGUGGGGAAAAAAGCAAGCAUUUGACAUUUAGAAAAUGACUUUUCAAUAGAACUUGUGAGUUUGAAUUCUUCUAUAGAUGUCUACCAGAGUGGUGGUGUUCCAUCAGUCAGCCAGCCCUUCCUCAGCUAAAGCCUUCUAGUAGCUCUCAUUUAACUUAGAGAAAAGCCAGAGUCCCGUGAGAUGCCUUGAGACCCGGCUGUCCAUGGGCCUCCUCCAUGGCUCCUUUUGGCUCAUCUCUUUACAGUGACCUUCUCCUCACUCUGGGCUGUUCUACUGGCCUCAGUAAAUCCCCCAACUGCCAGGCAAGAGGAUUCCUUGAGUUUUUCCCUCCCAAGACUUUACUCCCUGGUCCUCACCUGGCUCCCCUCUCAAAUCCACCUUAGCUAAACUAAGCCACCUGGAGACCUUCCCUGGCCUCAGUGACACUUUUCCAACUUACUUGAUGGCAGUGUGUAGAUUUAUUUAUUUUUCUUAAACCCCCAAUGUGAUGUAAUGUUCUUUUAAGUUUAGACUGUUGGUUUUGCCAUGCAGGAGAUGAGUUCUUGCCCCUUUGAGGCAAGUGUUCUUCUACUGAAUUCCCUAGUCAUUUCUUUCAAUUGAUUAAUUAAUUGUUUUACCUUGUUAAUUAAUUCUUUGUCUCUCCAGCAUGUAUUCCAUUCCAUUAGGGUCAGAAUUGUAUGUGGUUUGGCAUUACCUUUCUGUGGUGCUUGGAAUGCUUCCUGGCAUGGCAUUUAAUAAAUAUCUGUGGAAUAAA